GAAAGGGUAGCAGGUGUGCCUCCCAACCAACCCUUUAUUGCCUGGGCAUGUGACAGCAUUUUGCGGCACCUCAGUAAUGAGCCAGAGAAGAAGGAAAGGCAGAUGAAUUUGCCAGCAUUAUUGCAGGUAUCUUGAAGGAGAGUUGAGCCCAGCUUUUCAAUUCAUACAGAUCCUUUCUCUGAAGAACCCCUUCCUGAUAUUGUCACUUUAACACAUCUCUGUGGUUUUAUUUUGAAAUUUUUAAAGGUACAGUCAUGUGCCGCAUAAUGACAUUCAGUCAAUGACAGACUGCAUAUAUGAGGUGGUCCUGUAAGGUGAUAAUGGAGCUGAAAAAUUCCUACUACUGAACGACAUCAUAGCCAUUGUAACAUCAUAGCACAACCAAUCACCUUUUCUAUAUUUAGUUCCAGGGGCUUAAUCUUGAAACAGGGAGACCAAGUCUGGAGACCCAGCUGCAAAGUUCCAGAGAUUACUUCCAGGUGGCUCAUUAACAACCUGGCCAUUGUUGUGAUGACGUCAGCCUGAGGUCUCAGGUCCCAGGUCCCAGGUGGACUGAGACCCAAGACAGCCACCAGAACAAGACACACAGACAUUGUACUCAGCCCAAUGCUUGAAUGCCUUCCUUAUCAAGUUUUCCCAUUUUAAACCCUUGCCUUCCCCCCAAAAUCAAAGCAGUUACUUUGGAUAGGAAUCCAGCUGCUUCUUCUUUACUAGUUUUGGUUAAUAAAUUCACUUUCUUCCUACCGGA
rnacentral:lncRNA from 10 species